rnacentral:lncRNA from 1 species
UAUGUAAACCUUUCUCAAGUGAAAAAGCUUAGCUUUUUCCAAAUUCCCAUUUGAGACUGCCUGUGCGACUGCACAGUGUGCACACUCAUGCAGAUAGGUGGAGUCCUAUUCAACUUCUACAAAACACACUAAUUUGUUGAUUUGUUUUAUUUCUAUAUGGUACCUUUCCUCCUAGGAGCUGCAAGGCUUAAUAAGCUUCAGCAAUCCUUUUACAAUAGAGAUGCUGCAAGGAGGGCAGAAGCUCUAAUCACUCUGCAGAAGACCCAGCUGGAGGAAAUGAGAUCUCACGUGGGGAUCAAGGGUUGUAGGAGUGGGAGGAAGAUGUAGAGAAGAAGAACUUUUUCACUGGAGACAUUGUAAAACCAUGACAUCCUUUGCUGAAAGGGACAAGGAAGCAACUUCCCUGGAGGUUCAGAAAGUAGAAUUAUAGUUGCUGUCGGAUGUUAAAUGUAGAUCUGGAAGUCGUGGUGAAAAACUAGGCUGGGUUACACUGGAUGCUCAUCCAAAGUCUCUGUUCUGAUUCCAGUUGCCCAGUUUGUAGGAGGAAGAGCAGAAGAGAGGACAGUUGAGUGCAUCUGUGGAGGGCACAUGGAGACACUGGGUAACAGCCUGGGAUUCCUUGUUUUUCUGAGCACCACAUCAGGUAUCAGGAAGGUAGGGCUGGGAUGUGAGUCUGCUGCUGACCAGCAUUCUGACCUGGGGCUGACUCUGGCCACAGUUCUAACAACUGUGAAAUGAGAGAAUAAGAUCAGAUUUAAAUGCAACAAACUUUUAUUAAAGAUGUGUAGGAAACAACAUUGAAUAAUAACUGUUCAUGGCCUGCAGGGUUACACAACUAGGGAGAUGACACACACACACACACACACACACACACACACACACACACACAUAUACAUUCAGAUGUGGUUAUAAUAGGGAAUGAACAGUAUUUUAAGGGAAAAUGAGGCAGGAGAGAAAUUGGUUUCACCUUUGGAGGAGGUAGGCCUUGAGUACGAUUGAAUAAGGUGCUGAUGGGUGGAAAUGGAUGUAAAGAACAGGAGGUGUCUCUGGAAGAUAAAACAGGCGAACAAAAAGAGGGACCAGAAGACUGGGUAGGUGCAGAGGGUCAGUUCUGGGAGUGAGCAGCAGGUGGCUAUGGUGUGAGCACAGGUACAUAUCACAUGGCAGGGACUCAGGCAACAUCUGCUGAGUGACAAGUGGCGGCAGUGAGGUUGUACGGGAGGACAGGGAGGCCUGUUCCUGGCAGGGGAGCCACAUGCAUGUGGAGCUCAUAUGGGUUUCUGAAAGGGAGACAGGCCACUCUGAUGGGCUCUGUGUCCAAGGACAGGGAGACCACGGGAAGCGAGGCCCAAAGGCUGAGAGGUAAGGUCCAGGGAGGAGAAGGAAAGGGUUUGAAUUCAGAUAGCAACACCGGAGUGGGAGGGAUCUGAAAAAUAGAGCAGAAGCUCCUUCAGGCAUCCGGAGGCUGACCAGACAUGCAGGGAGACAGAGAAGAAAGAGAUGAAGAGAAUGCUGGGUUUUGAGCCUGGGCAGUGGGGAGGGUAGAAAUACAGAAAGAGACAAACAGCCUCAAGGAGAGGUUUGGGGAGGAGAAGAUCAGUUCAAUUUCGUGAGAAGUUCUGCAGGGUGUCUAAGCAGAGACGGCCAGCAGAGUAGGCCGGUAGAAAUGUGGGGAUCUGGGGAGCUGGAAAUCGGGGGCUCAUGGAAGCACUGGCUGAAGAUGUGGACGCGGAGGAGAGAGACAGAAGCGAUGUGCUGGGAGAGGAGGCCCGGCCAGCAGAGGAGCAGGACAAGGAAGAGGACGCCAUGCUUGUGGCUGUGCACUGGAAGCACUGGAGAUCCUGCUGCCACACAGCUUCCGGUCCAGGCUGAGGACGGCGGCCACUUGGUGUGGAAGACACAGGAGCUGUUGCAUUUGCACCCAGGUUGUAAAACAAGAUGGUGAUAUUGUAGAAGAAGAUGCAAAAAUUCCAAUUUUAAAAGCAAAACCAGAAAACUUCAAGGACACGUGGUGCUUGCUGCCAUCUGUUUCCGGUUCUGCAGAGUAUGUGUUUGCUCCCUCCUGCCUCCUGGGAGCUUGGUGGGAGAGUUUGGGAAGUGUUGCCAGGGAACCCACCCUAAGAAGCCUGGCUUGGCUCUUCCUAAUGGGUAUUCGAGCCUCACUAGGCAGUGAGCUGCUCAUAUUCCUGGUGAAGGUGAGAUGGAGCUGUUUUCACAGCAUCUUACACAGUUGUUCCGGUCCUAGGCUGCACCUUAGAAUCACCUGAUGAACUUUCAAACAAUACUCAUGCCAGAGUCCCACCCGGCCCAAGUGCACCAGAGUUCCUGGGAGUGUGGUUAGGGCACACUGUGUUUUAAAAGCUCCCGGGUGAUUCUCAAGUGCAGCUUCCGCUGGGGACGCUGACUGACAGUUUAGACUUCAGAGUUCAGGGAUCCUGAGAGUGUCUAUGUCCCUGGCGGGAAACGGUGGCACAGACAGCGUGUCCCCUACCCUCUACCUACCAACCACACUUAGACUAGUGGGCGAAUGAGACUGCAUUCCAGAAGCCCACCCCCAGCUAAAGAAAGGGUGCAGAGGUUAGGGGCGGGUGGAGAGCAAGACGAAACUUUGCAGGGGGGCAGGAAGGCUGUACUGUGUUGGAUAGUGUCCCCCCAAAUUCAUGUCCUUUCCAGAGCCUCAGAACGUGACCUUAUUUGGAAAUAGGGUCGCUGUAGAUGUAAUUAGUUAAGACACAGGAGUGGGGUAGGCCCUUCGUCCAAUCUGACUACUGUCCUUAUGAGAAGAGAGAGAGAGCACAUGUGCAGAUGGAGGUGCACGCCCAAGCACACCAGGGGCUAGAGGAGGCCUGGGACAGGCUGUAGAAAGUAAAAGUUCCUCUCCAAAGUUUCCCUUCUUGUUAAACUGUUAGCCAGUCGGGUUUUAGUUUAGAUUGUCAUGUCUGGCUCCAGCCAAUGGAGACAAGACACAGUAGCAGGGACAAACUGUGUAAGGAAUAAAAAUUGAUUCCCUCCUUUG